CCUACGGGUGGCAGCAGUGGGGAAUAUUGCACAAUGGGGGGAACCCUGAUGCAGCAAUGCCGCGUGGGUGAAGAAGCACUCCGGUGCGUAAAGCCCUGUCAGCAGGGAAGAAAAUGACAGUACCUGGACAAGAAGCCCCGGCUAACUACGUCCCAGCAGCCGCGGUAAUACGUAGGGGGCAAGCGUUAUCCGGAUUUACUGGGUGUAAAGGGAGCGCAGGCGGCGUGGCAAGUCAGCUGUGAAAACCCGGGGCCCAACCCCGGGAGUGCAUUUGAAACUGACAGGCUGGAGUGCCGGAGAGGUAAGCGGAAUUCGUGGUGUAGCGGUGAAAUGCGUAGAUAUUACGAAGAACACCGAUGGCGGAGGCAGCUUACUGGACGGUAACUGACGCUGAGGCUCGAAAGCGUGGGGAGCAAACAGGAUUAGAUACCCGUGUAGUC
rnacentral:rRNA from 1 species